rnacentral:rRNA from 1 species
AGCAGUCGCCGCGGGAAUACGAAGGGUGCAAGCGUUACUCGGAAUUACUGGGCGUAAAGCGUGCGUAGGUGGUGGUUUAAGUCCGUUGUGAAAGCCCUGGGCUCAACCUGGGAAUUGCAGUGGAUACUGGGUCACUAGAGUGUGGUAGAGGAUAGUGGAAUUUCCGGUGUAGCAGUGAAAUGCGUAGAGAUCGGAAGGAACAUCUGUGGCGAAGGCGACUAUCUGGGCCAACACUGACACUGAGGCACGAAAACGUGGGGAGCAAACAGGAUUAGAUACCCCCGUAGUCCCUGUCUCUUAUAC